AUAUAUAUACACACACAUGUACACCAGCAUGCAAAUUUUACUUAUUGAUUUACAUAGGAUCGUUGAAGAAAAGGAAGAACAAUGAUUAGUAAACAGAAGUUUAUUGUAGCAACCUUGAUUUUAGUUUUUCUAUUCUCAAUAGGUACGUAGAAAGUUUGCAUAAUAGAGUUCGAAUUUUUCAUAUAUUACUUUUUGUUAUACAUAUUGGUUAUCAUUACAUUAAUAUUACUCUUUUCAAUAGGUACGGACAGUUUAUUACUUCGCCGUAUGAAGUGUUUUUCUCAAUGUGACCAAACAACUGAUUGCAUGUCCUUCUGCACCAACAAGAGAUAUUAUAGAGGAUAUUGUGAACUAGAUGUUGAUAAUGUUAAUAGGUGUUGUUGUUACAAUUUUGAUGCUAAUAAACUUGUAACUUAAAGCUUUUCUUUUAGCUUGAAUAAAAUAUUAUGUUUUAUAAAUAUAAGUAAACUUUAUCAGAUGAAAUAAAACAUAGCAUAUUAUCAUAAAGUAUGAUUGAAAAAUUAG
rnacentral:lncRNA from 1 species